GUGGUCUCCAGAAUAAAGCUUGUGUAGACAUGCUGGUUGAGCCUUGUUCCCAUUGCUGAGGUGGUCUCCAGAAUAAAGCUUGUGUAGACAUGCUGGUUGAGCCUUGUUCACAUUGCUGAGGUGGUCUCCAGAAUAAAGCUUGUGUAGACAUGCUGGUUGAGCCUUGUUCCCAUUGCUGAGGUGGUCUCCAGAAUAAAGCUUGUGUAGACAUGCUGGUUGAGCCUUGUUCACAUUGCUGAGGUGGUCUCCAGAAUAAAGCUUGUGUAGACAUGCUGGUUGAGCCUUGUUCACAUUGCUGAGGUGG